GCCGCCGGCGUUCCUCCCGCCUCUCGUUCGUCGUAUUGGUCGCCGUCGAGCUCGCUGACCUGCGGUCCCGUCCACCGUCUACCUCGCCAUUCCGGUCGCCGUCAUCAUCUCGCAGGUGAGACUCUUGCCGGCUUCCUCCCUGUCCCAGCGCAGCUGCAAUGCAAGCACUGGUCUUGUUUUGGUUCUUGAUCAGUGUUGUCUGCAAUUGUUUCAGUAUUGAUUCUGCUACUUUCGGUCAGUGUACUCUGUAGCCAUGGGAUCAGUCAUUCAGUCAGUGUUGGUCCCUGUCAGUCAUUCAGUCAGUGUACUCCCAGGUCAUGCCUUACUUUCAGUGUUGGUUCUGUAGUAGUUCUACGGUGUUGGUCCCUGUCAUUCAGUCAGUGUACAUGAACAAGUACAUGAAGAACUAGAUCAUAUUUGAUUGGAAAUGUUUUAUAUGAACAAGUACAUGAACAAGUAUGAACU
rnacentral:lncRNA from 1 species